UACGGGGGGGGCAAGCGUUGUUCGGAAUUACUGGGCGUAAAGGGCACGUAGGCGGAUCUUUAAGUCAGGGGUGAAAUCCUGGAGCUCAACUCCAGAACUGCCUUUGAUGCUGGGGAUCUCGAGUCCGGGAGAGGUGAGUGGAACUCCGAGUGUAGAGGUGAAAUUCGUAGAUAUUCGGAAGAACACCAGUGGCGAAGGCGGCUCACUGGCCCGGUACUGACGCUGAGGUGCGAAAGCGUGGGGAGCAAACAGG
rnacentral:rRNA from 1 species